GGUGAACGCUGGCGGCAGGCCUAACACAUGCAAGUCGAGCGGCAGCGGGACCUUCGGGUCGCCGGCGAGCGGCGGACGGGUGAGUAAUGCCUAGGAAUCUGCCUGUUAGUGGGGGAUAACGCGGGGAAACUCGCGCUAAUACCGCAUACGUCCUACGGGAGAAAGUGGGGGACCCUCGGGCCUCACGCUAACAGAUGAGCCUAGGUCGGAUUAGCUAGUUGGUGGGGUAAAGGCCCACCAAGGCGACGAUCCGUAACUGGUCUGAGAGGAUGAUCAGUCACACUGGAACUGAGACACGGUCCAGACUCCUACGGGAGGCAGCAGUGGGGAAUAUUGGACAAUGGGCGAAAGCCUGAUCCAGCCAUGCCGCGUGUGUGAAGAAGGUCUUCGGAUUGUAAAGCACUUUAAGUUGGGAGGAAGGGCGCUCGGUGAAUACCCAGGCGUCUUGACGUUACCGACAGAAUAAGCACCGGCUAACUUCGUGCCAGCCGCCGCCGUAAUAC
rnacentral:rRNA from 1 species